GCAGUGGUGGUUCAGUGGUAGAAUUCUCCCCUUCCAGGUGAAGACCAUGGUUUGAUUCCUGGCCAGUGCA
rnacentral:tRNA from 1 species